AGUGAACGCUGGCGGUAGGCCUAACACAUGCAAGUCGAACGGCAGCACAGUAAGCGCUUGCUCUUACGGGUGGCGAGUGGCGGACGGGUGAGGAAUACAUCGGAAUCUACUUUUUCGUGGGGGAUAACGUAGGGAAACUUACGCUAAUACCGCAUACGACCCACGGGUGAAAGCAGGGGAUCUUCGGACCUUGCGCGAUUGAAUGAGCCGAUGUCGGAUUAGCUAGUUGGCGGGGUAAAGGCCCACCAAGGCGACGAUCCGUAGCUGGUCUGAGAGGAUGAUCAGCCACACUGGAACUGAGACACGGUCCAGACUCCUACGGGAGGCAGCAGUGGGGAAUAUUGGACAAUGGGCGCAAGCCUGAUCCAGCCAUACCGCAUGGGUGAAGAAGGCCUUCGGGUUGUAAAGCCCUUUUGUUGGGAAAGAAAAGCAGCAGGUUAAUACCCCGCUGUUCUGACGGUACCCAAAGAAUAAGCACCGGCUAACUUCGUG
rnacentral:rRNA from 1 species